rnacentral:rRNA from 1 species
GAUGAACGCUAGCGGCAGGCCUAAUACAUGCAAGUCAAGGGGCCAGCAAUGGCACCGGCGCACGGGUGCGUAACACGUACACAACAUACCUUUAAGUGGGAGAUAGCAUCGGGAAACUGGUGGUAAUACCCCAUAAUAUUGCGAUGCGGCAUCACAUUGCAAUUAAAGUUUCGACGCUUAAAGAUUGGUGUGCGUCCGAUUAGCUAGUUGGCGGGGUAACGGCCCACCAAGGCUACGAUCGGUAGGGGGUGUGAGAGCAUGACCCCCCACCAUGGUACGUGAGACACGGACCCGAACCUACC